AGAGUUUGAUCCUGGCUCAGGAUGAACGCUAGCGACAGGCUUAACACAUGCAAGUCGAGGGGCAUCGGGGAGUAGCAAUACUCUGCCGGCGACCGGCGCACGGGUGAGUAACGCGUAUGGAACCUGCCCUGUACAGGGGAAUAGCCCAUGGAAACGUGGAUUAAUGUCCCAUAUGACAUUCGGGAGGCAUCUUUCGGGUGUAAAAUUUUCGGAGGUACAGGAUGGCCAUGCGUCCUAUUAGAUAGUUGGCGGGGUAACGGCCCACCAAGUCGAUGAUAGGUAGGGGUUCUGAGAGGAAGGUCCCCCACAUUGGAACUGAGACACGGUCCAAACUCCUACGGGAGGCAGCAGUGAGGAAUAUUGGUCAAUGGGCGCGAGCCUGAACCAGCCAAGUCGCGUGAGGGAAGACUGCCCUAUGGGUUGUAAACCUCUUUUAUUCGGGAAGAAUAAGCCUUACGAGUAGGGUGAUGCCUGUACCGAAUGAAUAAGCAUCGGCUAACUCCGUG
rnacentral:rRNA from 1 species